rfam:Myotis davidii contig92894, whole genome shotgun sequence.
CAAAAGGCUCUUUUCAGACCCACCCACUCUUUCAAGUAAAAGAGG